AGAGUUUGAUCCUGGCUCAGGAUGAACGCUAGCGGCAGGCUUAACACAUGCAAGUCGAGGGGCAGCGCGAUGUAGCAAUACAUUGGCGGCGACCGGCGAAAGGGUGCGUAACGCGUGAGCAACUUUCCCGUAUCAGGGAGAUAACCGGUGGAAACGCCGACUAAUAUCCCAUAACAACAGAGGCCGCAUGACCUCAGUUUGAGAGAAAUUCGGAUACGGAUAGGCUUGCGAGACAUUAGCUAGUUGGAGUGGUAACGGCACACCAAGGCGACGAUGUCUAGGGGUUCUGAGAGGAAGGUCCCCCACAUUGGAACUGAGACGCGGUCCAAACUCCUACGGGAGGCAGCAGUGAGGAAUAUUGGUCAAUGGACGGAAGUCUGAACCAGCCAUGCCGCGUGAAGGAAUAAGGCCCUAUGGGUCGUAAACUUCUUUUGUGGUGGAGCAAUAAGGUGCACGUGUGCAUCGAUGAGAGUACAUCACGAAUAAGCAUCGGCUAACUCCGUGCCAGCAGCCGCGGUAAUACGGAGGAUGCGAGCGUUAUCCGGAUUUAUUGGGUUUAAAGGGUGCGUAGGCUGUUCUUCAAGUCAGAGGUGAAAUACCGGGGCUCAACCCUGGAACUGCCUUUGAUACUGGAGGGCUUGAAUACUGUUGCCGUGGGAGGAAUGAGUAGUGUAGCGGUGAAAUGCAUAGAUAUUACUCAGAACACCGAUUGCGAAGGCAUCUCACGAAGCAGCGAUUGACGCUGAGGCACGAAAGCGUGGGGAUCAAACAGGAUUAGAUACCCUGGUAGUCCACGCAGUAAACGAUGAU
rnacentral:rRNA from 1 species